UACAGAGGUCUCAAGCGUUGUUCGGAUUCAUUGGGCGUAAAGGGUGCGUAGGCGGCGCGGUAAGUCGGGUGUGAAAUUUCGAGGCUUAACUUCGAAACUGCAUUCGAUACUGCCGUGCUUGAGGACUGGAGAGGAGACUGGAAUUUACGGUGUAGCGGUGAAAUGCGUAGAUAUCGUAAGGAAGACCAGUGGCGAAGGCGGGUCUCUGGACAGUUCCUGA
rnacentral:rRNA from 1 species